AACGAUGAAGCCCUUCGGGGUGGAUUAGUGGCGAACGGGUGAGUAACACGUGGGCAAUCUGCCCUUCACUCUGGGACAAGCCCUGGAAACGGGGUCUAAUACCGGAUAACACUUCCGUCCUCCUGGACGGUGGUUAAAAGCUCCGGCGGUGAAGGAUGAGCCCGCGGCCUAUCAGCUUGUUGGUGAGGUAAUGGCUCACCAAGGCGACGACGGGUAGCCGGCCUGAGAGGGCGACCGGCCACACUGGGACUGAGACACGGCCCAGACUCCUACGGGAGGCAGCAGUGGGGAAUAUUGCACAAUGGGCGAAAGCCUGAUGCAGCGACGCCGCGUGAGGGAUGACGGCCUUCGGGUUGUAAACCUCUUUCAGCAGGGAAGAAGCGAAAGUGACGGUACCUGCAGAAGAAGCGCCGGCUAACUACGUGCCAGCAGCCGCGGUAAUACGUAGGGCGCAAGCGUUGUCCGGAAUUAUUGGGCGUAAAGAGCUCGUAGGCGGCUUGUCACGUCGGUUGUGAAAGCCCGGGGCUUAACCCCGGGUCUGCAGUCGAUACGGGCAGGCUAGAGUGUGGUAGGGGAGAUCGGAAUUCCUGGUGUAGCGGUGAAAUGCGCAGAUAUCAGGAGGAACACCGGUGGCGAAGGCGGAUCUCUGGGCCAUUACUGACGCUGAGGAGCGAAAGCGUGGGGAGCGAACAGGAUUAGAUACCCUGGUAGUCCACGCCGUAAACGGUGGGAACUAGGUGUUGGCGACAUUCCACGUCGUCGGUGCCGCAGCUAACGCAUUAAGUUCCCCGCCUGGGGAGUACGGCCGCAAGGCUAAAACUCAAAGGAAU
rnacentral:rRNA from 1 species